rnacentral:rRNA from 1 species
CCUACGGGUGGCAGCAGUAGGGAAUAUUGCUCAAUGGGCGAAACCCUGAAGCAGCAACGCCGCGUGGAGGAUGAAGGUCUUCGGAUUGUAAACCUCUUUUGUUAGGGAAGAUAAUGACGGUUUCUAAUGAACAAGCACUGGCUAACACCGUGCCAGCAGCCGCGGUAUUACGGAGGGUGCACGCGUUACUCGGAAUCACUGGGCGUAAAGGGCGCGUAGGCGGGAUGGCAAGUCAGAUGUGAAAUCCUAGGGCUUAACCAUGGAACUGCAUUUGAAACUGUUAUUCUAGAGUAUGGGAGAGGAUGGUGGAAUUCUUGGUGUAGGGGUAAAAUCCGUAGAGAUCAAGAGGAAUACUCAUUGCGAAGGCGA